rnacentral:rRNA from 1 species
GAUGAACGCUGGCGGCGUGCCUUACACAUGCAAGUCGUGCGGAGAAGAUUCAUUGUGGCAACACAGUGAGCCUUCUUAGCGGCAAACGGGUGAGUAAUGGAUGGGUAACCUCCCCUUAAGAUGAGGAUAGCCUUCCGAAAGGAAGAGUAAUACUCAAUAAUGUUGCAGGACUUUGGUUUUGCAAAGAAAGAUGGCUUCGGCUAUCGCUUUAGGAUGGGCUCAUCUCCUAUCAGCUAGUUGGUGAGGUAAUGGCUUACCAAGGCGGUGACGGGUAGCUGGUCUGAGAGGAUGGUCAGCCACACUGGGACUGAGACACGGCCCAGACUCCUACGGGAGGCAGCAGUGGGGAAUAUUGGUCAAUGGGCGAAAGCCUGAACCAGCGACGCCGCGUAAGGGAUGAAGGCCGCAAGGUCGUAAACUUUUUUUGUAGGGGAAAAAGGGAUCGAGUGCAAAUAGUGCUUGAUUCUUGAUUGUACCCUGCGAAUAAGCCCCAGCUAACUACGUGCCAGCAGCUGCGGUAAAACGUAGGGGGCGAGCGUUAUCCGGAAUUACUGGGUGUAAAGGGUAUGCAGGCGGAUUUAUAAGUUAGGUAUAAAAACUCGAGGCUCAACUUCGAGCUUGUGCCUAAUACUGUAAGUCUAGAGAAUAGGAAAGGGAAGUGGAAUUCUCGGUGUAGCGGUAAAAUGCGUAGAUAUCGGGAGGAACACCAUUGGCGUAAGCGGCUUCCUGGCCUAAAUCUGACGCUCAUAUACUAAAGCUAGGGGAGCAAACAGGAUUAGAUACCCUGGUAGUCCUAGCCAUAAACGAUGGGUGCUUGGUGUUGGGGGUUUUCCCUCAGUGCCGUAGCUAACGUGUUAAGCACCCCACCUGGGAAGUACGAUCGCAAGGUUGAAACUCAAAGGAAUUGACGGGGCCCCGCACAAGCAGCGAGGCAUGUGGUUUAAUUCGAUGUUACACGAAGAACCUUACCUGGGCUUGACAUGUAUGAGAAAGCUGGAAGAAACUCCGGCCCUCUGAGAGAGCAAUCUCGAUGACCCAUACACAGGUGCUGCAUGGUUGUCGUCAGCUCGUGUCGUGAGAUGUACGGUUAAGUCCGUGAACGAGCGCAACCCCUGUCCUUAGUUGCUAAUACGCUUCGGCGUAUGCACUCUAAGGAUACUGCCAGUGGAAAAUUGGAGGAAGGAGGGGAUGACGUCAAAUCCUCAUGGCCUUUAUGUCCAGGGCUACACACAUGCGACAAUGGUCGAUACAAAGCGUUGCAAGCCAGUAAUGGCAAGCUAAUCGCAGAAAGUCGUCCUCAGUACGGAUUGAGGGUUGCAAUUCACCCUCAUGAAGCUGGAGUUGCUAGUACCCGCCGGUCAGCUAUACGGCGAUGAAUACGUUCCCGGGGCUUGUACACACCGCCCGUCACACAUCCGAGUUAUGUGCACCCGAA